CAGUAGCCGCGGGAAUACGUAGGUGGCAAGCGUUGUCCGGAAUUAUUGGGCGUAAAGGGCUCGCAGGCGGUUUCUUAAGUCUGAUGUGAAAGCCCCCGGCUCAACCGGGGAGGGUCAUUGGAAACUGGGAAACUUGAGUGCAGAAGAGGAGAGUGGAAUUCCACGUGUAGCGGUGAAAUGCGUAGAGAUGUGGAGGAACACCAGUGGCGAAGGCGACUCUCUGGUCUGUAACUGACGCUGAGGAGCGAAAGCGUGGGGAGCGAACGGGAUUAGAUACCCCAGUAGUCCCUGUCUCUUAUAC
rnacentral:rRNA from 1 species